rnacentral:rRNA from 1 species
UAGGGAAUUUUCGUCAAUGGGGGGAACCCCUGAACGAGCAAUGCCGCGUGAGUGAGGAAGGUCUUCGGAUCGUAAAGCUCUGUUGUAAGAGAAAAACGACACUCAUAGGGAAUGAUGAGUGAGUGACCGCCUCCUACCAGAAAGUCACGGCUAACUACGUGCCAGCAGCCGCGGUAAUACGUAGGUGGCGAGCGUUAUCCGGAAUGAUUGGGCGUAAAGGGUGCGUAGGUGGCAGAUCAAGUCUGGAGUAAAAGGUAUGGGCUCAACCCGUACUUGCUCUGGAAACUGAUCAGCUAGAGAACAGAAGAGGACGGCGGAACUCCAUGUGUAGCGGUAAAAUGCGUAGAUAUAUGGAAGAACACCGGUGGCGGAAGGCGGCCGUCUGGUCUGGAUUCUGACACUGAAGCACGAAAGCGUGGGGAGCAAAUAG